rnacentral:rRNA from 1 species
GAUGAACGCUGACAGAAUGCUUAACACAUGCAAGUCUACUUGAACUUCGGUUUGGGCGGCGGACGGGUGAGUAACGCGUAAAGAACUUGCCUCACAGACUGGGACAACAUUUGGAAACGAAUGCUAAUACCGGAUAUUAUGAGAUAUGCGCAUGCAUAACUUAUGAAAGCUAUAUGCGCUGUGAGAGAGCUUUGCGUCCCAUUAGCUAGUUGGAGAGGUAACGGCUCACCAAGGCGAUGAUGGGUAGCCGGCCUGAGAGGGUGAACGGCCACAAGGGGACUGAGACACGGCCCUU